rnacentral:rRNA from 1 species
AUUGAACGCUGGCGGCAUGCCUAACACAUGCAAGUCGAACGGAAACGAUGCUAGCUUGCUAGCAGGCGUCGAGUGGCGGACGGGUGAGUAAUGCAUAGGAAUCUACCUUUUAGUGGGGGAUAACGUGGGGAAACCCACGCUAAUACCGCAUAAUCUCUACGGAGGAAAGUGGGGGAUCUUCGGACCUCAUGCUGAAAGAUGAGCCUAUGUCAGAUUAGCUUGUUGGUGGGGUAAUGGCCUACCAAGGCGACGAUCUGUAGCUGGUUUGAGAGAACGAUCAGCCACACUGGGACUGAGACACGGCCCAG